UGGGGAAUCUUGCGCAAUGGGCGAAACCCUGACGAAGCAACGCCGCGUGGAGGAUGAAGGCCUUCGGGUCGUAAACUCCUGUCGACCGGGACGAAAGCUAUCCGACCCAAUACGUCGGGUAGUCGACUGUACCGGUAGAGGAAGCCACGGCUAACUCUGUGCCAGCAGCCGCGGUAAUACAGAGGUGGCAAGCGUUGUUCGGAAUUACUGGGCGUAAAGGGCGCGUAGGCGGUCUUUUAAGUUCCGUGUGAAAUCCCUCGGCUCAACUGGGGAACGGCACGGGAAACUGGAAGGCUUGAGUUCGGGAGAGGGAAGCGGAAUUCCGGGUGUAGCGGUGAAAUGCGUAGAUAUCCGGAGGAACACCGGUGGCGAAGGCGGCUUCCUGGACCGACACUGACGCUGAGGCGCGAAAGCUAGGGGAGCAAACGGGAUUAGAUACCCCGGUAGUCCUAGCUGUAAACGAUGAGUGCUGGGUGUAGGGGGUAUUCACCCCCCCUGUGCCGAAGCUAACGCAUUAAGCACUCCGCCUGGGGAGUACGGUCGCAAGGCUG
rnacentral:rRNA from 1 species